AGGAUGGGACUGCGGCCGAUCAGGCUGUUGGUGGGGUAAUGGCCCACCAAACCUGUAACCGGUACGGGCCUUGAGAGAGGGGGCCCGGAGAUGGACACUGAGAGAAGGGUCCAGGUCCUACGGGGCGCAGCAGGCGCGAAACCUUCGCAAUGCGCGAAAGCGUGACGAGGUUAAUCCGAGUGGUCCCCGCUGAGGGGAUCUUUUCUUGGCUCUAAAACGGCCAGGGAAUAAGGGGAGGGCAAGUCUGGUGUCAGCCGCCGCGGUAAUACCAGCUCCUCGAGUGGUCGGGGCGAUUAUUGGGCCUAAAGCACCCGUAGCCGGUUCCGUAGGUCUUCUGUUAAAUCCAACGGCUUAACCGUUGGCCCGCAGGAGAUACCGCGGGACUAGGAGGCGGGAGAGGUGGACGGUACUCCACGUGUAGGGGUAAAAUCCUUUGAUCCGUGGAAGACCACCAGUGGCGAAGGCGGUCCACCAGAACGCGCUCGACGGUGAGGGAUGAAAGCUGGGGGAGCGAACCGGAUUAGAUACCCGGGUAGUCCCAGCCGUAAACGAUGCGAGCUAGAUGAUCCAAUCGCAAAUCGCGAUUGGAGUGUCGCAGGGAAGCCGUUAAGCUCGCCGCCUGGGGAGUACGGUCGCAAGACUGAAACUUAAAGGA
rnacentral:rRNA from 1 species